UUUUGAUUGUGGGAAUGUGAUAUGUGCCAGAUAUGACAAGACCUUGUUUCUAGGAAAGCAACGCCAGCAAGUGUGGUCCUCCUCUAUGACAUCUCAGAUGAUGUAUGAGAACAGAGGCUUAAGUCGGAGAUGGCAGAGAAAGCUAGCGGUGGUGGUGUAGGCCUAAUGGAAGAAAGUAUGCUGCUCUCUCUAGUGCUUUGGGUACUUUACCAUGGGAAAAGCCUCAAUCUUCUGAAUUUGAACAAUUGGCUAGGGAAAGUGAAUACGCGGCAUGGACACUUACCAAUGGCUAUGCACUUAACCACGUCACUAUCUCUGUCCAUCAGCUUAAAUCUCAUCCAAACAAGAAGAAGAAGAAGAGAAGAAAGAGACAGGAAGAAGAAGCGACGGAACUGCGAUGGGAGGGAGACCGCAGCUUAGAGCUUUAAGUUUUGGUUUAUUAGGCUUUGUUCAAUUUUUUUUUGGUUUAUUAGGCUUGGUUCAAUUUUUUUUUUGGUUUAUUUAGGUUUGGUUAAUUAGGUUUUGGUUUAAUUGUUUGGUUAAUGUAUAAACUGAUUUUAUUUGUAAACAAAAUUUAAUUAAUAAAAAAAAAAUUUAAUUAUUGUUUUUAAUCAUUUAAAUAUUUUUUAGUUUUUAUAAUAUGAUUAAUUGUUUUUAUUACAAAAAUUCGAAAUAAAUAUUACAUUUUAAAAAAUAAAAUCAAUUCAUUAUUAUAAAUAUUAAUAAUUGCAUAGAAAUUAAUGCUAUUGUUGUUUAUUUAGCUAUAGCAUACGACAGAUCCGUUAUGAAAAGUGUCAGACCUAUUAUAACGGGCGCUGUCAGAGCGUUUUAGGGAGCGCUAUUAUAUCGAAUUCAUAGCGUUUUUCGUCCGCUAUUACUACCCAUAUUUCCUGUAGUGAGCUUUUGGUUGGAUACUUAAUGCUCGUCGGAAGAUGACCCAUCUUAUCUCCAAGAUUACAACAAGACAUAUAGCUCUAACAAAUAAUCUUACGCGUUGUUAUAUACGAUGUGAUAAUCAUUGUCCUAGAUGUGGAGAGCCUGAUGAAUCUAUGACAUGCUAUUUUAAAAUGUUAACAAUCUGUACAUGCAUGGGCCUUAUCGUCUACACCUUCGAACCCAAACAUUUUCUUUUGGUUUCGAGUGUCUACACAAAUUUAGAUUACCUCUUAUGACGGAAAAAUAGAAAAGAAGAUACGCAGUUAGAUAGAUAUCCUUAUCCACUGAUAAUUUGGUAUCUCUAUAAAAUUCGAAAUGAUAAAUUAAUCAAAAGAAUCGACAAGGAGCUAUCAAAACUUAUUUGAUAUGUGGAAGGAGCCAUAUGUUUACAAAACAUUUGUAUGGUGGAUGGUUCAUGAAAUCCUACAUCAAUAUAGUGGGUGUGGAUGGGUUCGAAAAUACACUCCUGGAUCAACUUAUAGGUACGAAGAACCAAAGAAGAUGAGUCUCCUCUCUGCAUUCGGAGUUCGAAGAACUAGGAUAGACAAUGGAAAGUAUGCCAUUCAACAUGUAAAAAUUUUGGAACGAACUACAAGAAUUUGAUAUCAAUGAUUGGGAAAGCAUGAAUCAUGGCAUAAAAUAUGUUGGAAUGACCUGAGCCACCGACUUGA